rnacentral:rRNA from 1 species
UACGGAGGGUCCAAGCGUUAUCCGGAAUCAUUGGGUUUAAAGGGUCCGUAGGCGGUUUUGUAAGUCAGUGGUGAAAGCCCAUCGCUCAACGGUGGAACGGCCAUUGAUACUGCAAGACUUGAAUUAUUAGGAAGUAACUAGAAUAUGUAGUGUAGCGGUGAAAUGCUUAGAGAUUACAUGGAAUACCAAUUGCGAAGGCAGCUGGCUACACAUAUAUUGACACUGAGGCACGAAAGCGUGGGGAUCAAACAGG